GAUGAGCGCUGGCGGCGUGCCUAAUACAUGCAAGUCGAGCGAACAGACGAGGAGCUUGCUCCUUUGACGUUAGCGGCGGACGGGUGAGUAACACGUGGAUAACCUACUUAUAUGACUGGGAUAAUCUCGGGAAACCGGAGCUAAUACCGGAGAAUAUACUGAACCGCAUGGUUCAAUAGUGAAAGUCGGCUUUGGUGUCACUUAUAGAUGCAUCUGCGCCGCAUUAGCUAGUUGGUAAGGUAACGGCCUAUCAAGGCUACGAUGCGUAGCCGAACUGAGGGACUGGUCGGCCACCCGGGAGCUGGAACACGGUCCAGGGUCCUGCGGGAGGCAGCAGUAGGGAAUCUUACGCAGUGGGCGGAAGCCUGACGGAGCAACGCCGAGUGAGUGAUGAAGGUCUUCGGAUCGUAAAACUCUGUUAUUGGGGAAGAACAGAUGUGUACGUAACUAUGGACGUCUUGACGGUACCUAAUCAGAAAGCCACGGCUAACUACGUG
rnacentral:rRNA from 1 species